ensembl:lncRNA
CGUGCUUGUCCUUGCGUUUUUCAUAUACGUAAGAUCACAUGAAUUUUCCCUUGCAUUCUGUGCUAUAAAAAAAAUGCGAAAAUAUAUAUUUUAAAUUGUAUGUUAUUUUUAAGAGCGUUUGUAUAAUAGUUUAUUCAUUUUAUUAUGCAUUCGUUUGUUUGUUUUUAAUUAGUCUCAAAUUUUUAUAAAAAAAAAAAAAAAAAAAAAAAAAAAAAUGAAAAAACUUGUAACAAUUGCUAUUUCAGUUUUUAUUAUUUUUUAUAUUGCACCUAUAAAAAGUAAAAAAGUGUUUUUUUUACGAUAUAAAACGUGUUCUUAUAUAUCAUCUAUAGAGAAGCAAAACACAGUGUGUAAUAAUAAUUUUAAAAAUAUUAGUUUAAUUAAAAAAAAGAAAAAUCCAAUUUAUUUUAUUAAAGAAAAAAAAAAAAAUAACAAUAAUAAGUUGUCCUUUAGUACAUGCCUUUUCAAAGGAAAAAAAAACGAAGAAGUAGAACAAACAACAACACGGAAAGAUCAACAGCCAACUACUGAACAAGAAAUAAAAGAAAAUUCAUAUGUACAUAAUAAAAAUAAUGAUAUUCAACAAAAAAUUAAAAAUGAAAACGAGCAAAAUCGGGAAUAUAAUACCAAUGAACAUACGUACACAAAUAAUGAACAACAAGAGAAUGUGAUAACCGAUUCCUUUUUCUCAAAUAGUUCUGCACAUGAUGAUGAUGAUGAUGGAUAUGAUGAUGGAGAUGAUGAUGGAGAUGAUAUGGAGGGGGGCAAGGGUAAAAAGAAAAAAAAGAAAAAAAAUAAAAAAAAGAAAAAAAAAGAAAAAAAAAAGGAAGUGGGAAUUGGGACUGGUGAAAGUGUUAAUAGCUACGAUGGUAGUGGCAGUAACAACGAAGGUAUGAAUGACAACGGAGAGAGUGACAAAAACAGUAGCGAUGAAAUAAUGGAAAAAUAUAUUGAAAAAUUAAAUAACAUUGACGUAUUAAAAAAUAACAAAAAAAUAGAUAACCUUGAUAAAAAUAAAUUACUAGAAGAAUAUGAAAGAUUAGUAAAUGUGCUUAAAGAAAGUGGUGAAAAAAAGUUAGCCGAAUAUAAAGAAAAUGAAAAAAUAAAUAAGUACGAAUUGAAUGAACGUGUUAUUAACAGUUCUCAAAAAGUGAAUAUCAAUAAGCUAAAAGAAGACAUAGAAAAAAAAUUUGGGACUAAUGACACUACAGAAAGAAGGAUACAGGAGUACAUGCUUUUGUUUACUCAGGGAGGUGACAGUGAUACCAACAGUAGUAGAAGCAGUAGUGGUAGCAACAGUAGCAUAAGUAGUAGUGGUAGCAACAGUAGCAUAAACAGUAGUGGUAGCAACAGUAGCAUAAACAGUAGUGGUAGCAAAAGUAGCAUGAGCAGUAGUGGUAGCAACAGUAGCAUAAGUAGUAGUGGUAGCAACAGUAGCAGAAGUAGUAGUGGUAGCAACAGUAGCAGAAGUAGUAGUGGUAGCAACAGUAGCAGAAGUAGUACAAGUUUCAGUGAUAAUGGGGACUAUACGAAGACACAAACGGAAGAACAAAACUUUUUAAAAAUGGAAGAACAAAAGGAAAACCUAAGGAUACUGAAAAAAAUAAAAGAUGGUGAUUAUAGUGAAAUAAAAAAUUUUAAUUUCAAAUUAACAAAAAAUGAUUAUGAUCUUAUGAGUAAUAUAAAUAAUAAUAAUAAUAAUAAUAUAAAUAAUAAUAAUUCGAGUAGCAGUAAACUAACCGAGAGUUCAAGUAAUAACAUAUGUACAAAUGGACAGAAUAAAAAGAUUCUAGAAGAAGAAAAUAAAGUGAUUGAUUAUAUUUUUGAUAAAAUUAUUCAUAACAAUCCCGUAGUUAAACAACUGAAAGAAAAAG